rnacentral:rRNA from 1 species
UACAUGGGGUGCAAACGUUGCUCGGAAUCAUUGGGCGUAAAGCGCGCGUAGGCGGUUACACAAGUUGGAUGUGAAAGCCCUCGGCUUAACUGAGGAAGUGCAUCCAAAACUGUGCAGCUAGAGUACUAAAGAGGGUCGCGGAAUUCCCGGUGUAGAGGUGAAAUUCGUAGAUAUCAGGAGGAACACCGGUGGCGAAGGCGGAUCUCUGGGCCAUUACUGACGCUGAGGAGCGAAAGCGUGGGGAGCGAACAGG